UACGAGAGGCCCAAACGUUAUUCGGAUUUACUGGGCUUAAAGAGUUCGUAGGCGGCGCAGAAAGUGGGGUGUGAAAGCCCUCGGCUCAACUGAGGAAUUGCGCUCCAAACUACUGUGCUAGAGGAAGCUAGAGGUGAGCAGAACAGAUGGUGGAGCGGUGAAAUGCGUUGAUAUCAUCUGGAAUACCGGAGGCGAAGGCGGCUCACUGGGGCUUUUCUGACGCUGAGGAACGAAAGCCAGGGUAGCGAACGGG
rnacentral:rRNA from 1 species